UCCCUGGUGGUCCAGUGGUUAAGACUCUGCACUUGCAAUGCAGCGGGUGUGGGUUCAAUCCCUAGUUGGGGAA
rnacentral:tRNA from 1 species